ensembl:lncRNA
UCUCCCAGCUGGGAACAAGUUCUGGGUAUUAUCCAGUCAAACCAGUUUGUGUCCUGUGACUGAUACAUGAAACUGUAAGGAGCAGGUGCAUUUGUUUUUCACCCUCAGAAUAGGUUGUUUCAUUAGCAGAGUUCUCAUCCUCAAAAUAGCUUCACAUGGGAAUGUGCAAACUGCUGGAUAGCUGCACGUGGAAGAGGUGACAGGGCAGCUUUGGCGAAGCCAGGCCUGACUUCAUAAGGCCUUUUUUAAAUAAUUCUCCCUGUCUACCACACCUGAAUGAACCUGGGGACAGACAGGUGCAUCUUGCCACUUCAUAAGCAGAGGUCUGGACAUCCUUUGACAUUCCUGGGGCUCCUGUGCCCCUCUGCUGCCCAGAACUCACUGAUGAUCACAAUCAAAUAUAUUACCUACACCUGGAAAAUUACAAUGAUGAGUGAGAACCUUAUGGCAUAAGGAAGUGUGCUGCUUCUACCUCUGCUCUCAGCAAGUGAAAGGAAGUGGG